GAUAUUGAUGAUCGAAGGUACAUUAUGAGAUUUAAAGAUCCAAGGGUACUAGGAACAUUUCUAAAGGGACCAACGAAGUUUACGUUGACGGAUGAUCUCAUUGUAACCCCAUUUUCAUCCGUUUAUGUAAUUGCCAUUAUGAAUGAGUUGAAAGUUCCUCUAAAGGAUAUUGAGCAUCAUGAAGUAAGCAUUGGCAUUGAGAAGGGUUUUGAACUAUUGAAUGCUUCUCUAAAAUCAAAUUCGAGUUUGAUAGACUUGUUACUUGAAGAAAUAAUCGAGAAAAAGAAAAGGUUAUCACAGAAGGAGAUUGUGCGUGGAGAUGGUGGGCGGUGUCGGAGACAAAAGGAGUCAAAAAGACCAAAAUACCCUCUAAGUUAACUUGAGUUAAUGGAUUUUUUAACAGAUAAACCACAAGGACCAUGGCCAUAACAAAUUGCAAGAAAUUAAAACCAAAUGUAUGAUAAACCUACAUCAUUUGACCCGGUAUCAUGCACAUAAUUCCAUCUGAUGCAUUUGCUUGGGAUGCACGAAUCAUAUAUGUAGGAUCAAUGUAUUUUACAUCAGCUGGAUCGUCAAUAUCCUUGUUUUUCACCUAAUAGAGUAUUUUCUAUCAUAUCUGACUGUCGAAGAAAUUAUAUUCUUAAGGUAAUUACAGUUUAAUCAAAAUCAAAAAGUCAUCCGUGAACUUCUGGUUCGACAAGAGAUCUAUGUAAUUGACCCAAAAAACAUUUGGAUCCCUUUGUUUGAAGUAGAUACUUGAGAUGACUUAGGACGCCUUGAGGUCCAUGUAACUCAAAGGGUACCUUUAACCCAAAUGAAAUCCAGAAAACCGUGUCAAUUAGUUUGUUCAGACACUAGUUUGUUCAUUCUUAGUAGAUAAUAUGUGAUGUUGUACCUUCAUUUCAGUGUGAUGCAUUAUUGAUAAUUACAUUACAAAUACUUUACAAUUCUCUUAUGGUAGCAAAG